rnacentral:rRNA from 1 species
CCUACGGGGGGCAGCAGUGGGGAAUAUUGGGCAAUGGGCGCAAGCCUGACCCAGCAACGCCGCGUGAAGGAAGAAGGCUUUCGGGUUGUAAACUUCUUUUCUCAGGGACGAAGAAAGUGACGGUACCUGAGAAAUAAGCCACGGCUAACUACGUGCCAGCAGCCGCGGUAAUACGUAGGUGGCAAGCGUUAUCCGGAUUUAUUGGGUGGAAAGGGCGUGUAGGCGGGAGCGCAAGUCAGAUGUGAAAACUCAGGGCUCAACCCUGGGCCUGCAUUUGAAACUGAGUUUCUUGAGUGCUGGAGAGGCAAUCGGAAUUCCGGGUGUAGCGGUGAAAUGCGUAGAGAUACGGAGGAACACCAGUGGCGAAGGCGGAUUGCUGGACAGUAACUGACGCUGAGGCGCGAAAGCGUGGGGAGCAAACAGGAUUAGAUACCCGGGUAGUC